GACGCCCGGGAGCUGCUGGAGGACGAGGUCGGAGAGGGGCAGCGACAUGUCCACCCUUGGCUGGUGGCGCCGCCGGGCGCCUGGGGCCAUGUGGGCGCGCUAGACGGCGCGCACGCUGCUCUGGGCCGGCCGGCCGGGCGGUCGGGCGGUGAGGUGCGGUGCGGUGAGGUGAGCUCUGCCUUCUUGAGCUUCCACCCUCCUUGGAGACGACUGGCAAGAGGAAGAGGGACUAGGUCCAAACAUUAGGUGACUGGGUCCAGGUCCUUGGCAUUUUGACUCUGUUCCUGUGGAUAGCUGCCUAUUCUGAAGUUCCAGAAAGGAUCCUAUUCCCAAACAGGUGAUUUACACACCCGAGAGUGUCUUGUUGCCUCUGAGAGGUUGGGCUAGUAUCAUCUCAGGGACUGGAGUUUUUUCUCUCUUUUCCUUUUUUUGUUUUAUUU
rnacentral:lncRNA from 1 species